AUUGAACGCUGGCGGCAUGCUUUACACAUGCAAGUCGAACGGCAGCGCGGGCUUCGGCCUGGCGGCGAGCGGCGAACGGGUGAGUAAUACAUCGGAACGUGCCCAGUAGUGGGGGAUAGCUCGGCGAAAGCCGGAUUAAUACCGCAUACGACCUGAGGGUGAAAGCGGGGGAUCUUCGGACCUCGCGCUACUGGAGCGGCCGAUGGCAGAUUAGCUAGUUGGUGGGGUAAAGGCCUACCAAGGCGACGAUCUGUAGCUGGUCUGAGAGGACGACCAGCCACACUGGGACUGAGACACGGCCCAGACUCCUACGGGAGGCAGCAGUGGGGAAUUUUGGACAAUGGGCGAAAGCCUGAUCCAGCAAUGCCGCGUGUGUGAUGAAGGCCUUCGGGUUGUAAAGCACUUUUGGCGGGAACGAAAAGGACUGUGCCAAUACCACGGUUCGAUGACGGUACCCGCAGAAUAAGCACCGGCUAACUACGUG
rnacentral:rRNA from 1 species